ensembl:lncRNA
AUUUAAUUUUUAUUUGUGGUCUGUGAGCGUGACUUCAGUCACUGUGAUGCAGGUUGGAGAAGCUGUUCUUGAGAAAGCCGCAGUCUGCCUGUUCUGCACAGCUAGCUGUUAGAGACAACCACGCAUGCACACACACACACACACACACACACACACACACACACACACACACACACACACACACACACACACACACACACACACACAUAUUUAGUCAGUGUGUCCUUACAGCUGUCAUCUUUAUAAUUACCUUCCUAUGAUGUGUCUGGGAGACAUUUCUACAUGGUAGCUUCAGAAUAACCUGGAUCACACACUCUUUGAACAUACACACUAUUUAAAUUACUGUCUUAUCACCAGAACAUCAGUCCCAGGAGAGGCCAUGUACCAGAUACACAGCGGGUAAUGGACUUUGUUAGACCACCUGUUAUAAAAACAAAGCACACAAAUGUUUUAGAAAUCUGUCCAAAAAAUGUAUUUUUAUUUAUUAGGCAAAUAAACUGUAUCCAAAUCUGAGCCGAGACACUGGACUUUUCACAGAAGUCUGAAUUUCAUCAAACAUUCAGCCACUAAAAUUGAUUCUUCUGUAACUUUAAUGUGUUAUUAUUAUUUUUUUAUUAAUCUUUUCUGCCUUUUUGUAAAAGUAAAAUUUGAAAAUUCAUGGAUCAAGACAAUAACUAUAUUAAAAGCUUGCGCGUCAGAGCUUGCAGAUACUGUCGAAUUAACCAUUACACAAUCAUAAAAAUGUAUUUUGGUAAUAACCAAUACUCUUUCUUUGGUCUGGCGGUGGUCUAAUAAAUCUGUUAAGCUGUGUAGCUUCUCUGUUUGCGGGAUUUUUGUGGUUUUCUACUCUGAUGAUCAGUCUGAGAGCUGCUAGCUGAUGAGCUCAGUUUAGCUCCCACCCCCUUUCUCUUCAUGUUACUGUACCGUGGUAUUUUUUUCUCAGGGUUGUACAUAAAAAUAAAUGAUUGAAAUUAUUGAAAAGAAGAUUUAAGAAAAAGUUUGCUAACUGCCUCGUCAGCUUCCACUAACUUUCAGCAUAACAUGCCUCUUGCUAUAAGAGCAGAUCAGUAGAGUUUAUGGUGUUACAGAGAUAAUCAUAAGCUGUUGCAGGCUCAUUAAAUUGACAAUUUAUUGCUUCUACCAUGAAUUACUUUAACUGCCAAAUUUCUGGUAUCCAUUAUCGGGCCCCUGUACAGCUACUACACAGGUGGACCUGCUGUGGGAAGAGUGCAGGACUGGGCUGUAUCCCAAUUCAGGGUCUGCAGCCUUAAAGUAUGCAACCUUAACGGUCCUCAAGGGCCGCGUACUCAAAGACCGCUAAGGCCAGAAGUGCGAGGCUUGUGAAAUGGGACGGUCUAGCCUCCGUCGCGCUGCCCAGGUUGCCUAGCAAUCGUGAUACUAACAGCUGGAAACGUGUCAUACAGCUUUGUUUGACAGAAAUGAAGGAGAACAUAUUUUGUACAUUUGUUUGUUUGUUUCUACACGAGCGCUGUGUGAUUUGAUAAGUAUCUGAGGCUGAGACCACGGGACUGUAAAACAUGAUUGUUGGGCUUCAUUUCUGUACUGAACAGUCAUUUAAGAUUAGCUAGUAAAUAACAAUUAGCUAAUGUUGCUCAUGAGACUAAAGUCAUCUCACUUUGGUAAUGUAAAUAUAAUUUACAUUACCCCCUGAGCCACGGUCGCCCCUGGCUCAGGGGGUUGGGAAGCGUAUCUGUAACCGGAAGGUCGCCGGUUCGAUCCCCGGGCUCUCUGUCCUGGUCGUUGUGUCCUUGGGCAAGACGCUUUACCCUACCGCCCACUGGUGUUGGCCAGAGGGGCCGAUGGCGCGAUAUGGCAGCCUCGCUUCUGUCAGUCUGCCCCAGAGCAGCUGUGGCUACAACCAUAGCUGCCUCCACCAGUGUGUGAAUGUGAGAGUGACUGAAUAGUGGCAUUGUAAAGCGCUUUGGGUGCCUUGAAAAGCGCUAUAUCAAUCCACUCCAUUAUUAUUAUUAAUAUGGCCAAUAUUAAAGUUAUUAUUUCAGUCAGUAUUAGUUAUUACAGCAGUGAAUGACUCUGUUUCAAAUACUGAGCUUCAGUAAAGAUUCAAGCUGCAUUUAUUUAUAUUUCCUGUCACCUUAAAUCUUCACUCAAAGACAGGUUUCUUUGACACUGUGUAUAUAUAACUGUGUUAUAUAUAUGAGGGACAGAUAUUGUUCUUUCAAUAUGUUGGCAUUACUAAAUUUCUCUCAGUGGUUACUUUAAAUAUCCAUAAAAUCAUCACAUUCUCUGUAAGAUUAAGGUCGACUAUUGAACGGUGCAUAUUUUAAAGUAAAGGCUUUAAAACCAAGUUAGCACAAACGUCACUAAUGUCACAUAACUUUGCCGACAUGUGGCCAACAGUAACGUUUAAAAGUUCUUCGUUAUUAAACAUUUGCACAUAAAUAACAUAAUAAUCAGUACUUACUUUUAAAACUCUUUGGCCGCCCCUCCUCCGCCGUUUUUUUUUUUUUUUUUCUCGGCAAAAUUAUCCACACCCACCGCCGCGAUAUGCAUUCUGGGAUAUGUUGGGCCACGAAGUCUACACCGCCACAUCCUUAAAAUUCAGGGAAAUGAAGGACGCAUUUGAGGGCCGCAUUUCGAGCAGCCUUUGAAUCGGGACAGCCUUUAAGGCUGCAGACCCUGAAUUGGGAUACAGCCAUCUUUUAUAUACAGUCUGUGUACCGUUGCCCACAAACAGGAAAUGCUGAGAGUUGUUCGUUCAGUGAUUGUUUAGUCAUACUCUGCUGUAGCCCCACCGAGUAGGUCAGACCACUAGCAGAGCUCAGAUGUGGCCCCUCUGUGGGGCACAUGUGGCCGCUGUGAUAAAUGUUACCAGUUACCCCAGAAAAGGAAGGAUAAUUACGUUAGUUUCGCUUUCUGCCGGCUACUUAAAUGUGCUUUUGCUGUAAAACUGAGGUCAGAGUUGGUACCAAGUGGUAUUUGUGACGGUGUUGUUGUUGUGAUUGCUGUCAUGUUUUUUCUCUUUCUGUGAUUGUCAUCAGCAGCAUUCUCAACCUUUUCAUUUUUGUCUCUCUGACACACACACACACACACACACACACACACACACACACACACACACACACACACACACACACAUGAAUAAUGUAAGUAGCGAGGAAAUUGCAGCAGCCUGACAACGGGGCUGAUUCUGAGCCACAAUCCAAAAUAGAGAGAGAAAGCGGGGCCAACACUUGCAUAUCAAACCGAGGCUUUGUGGUUAGACGAGAAAGCGGGGAGGAGGAGAGGGGAUGACAGACGAUGCUCAUGUUUAAACAGCAGCGCAGGAGAAAUGAGAGCGCGUGAAAACAUGAAUUCUCAGUGAUCUUCUUCAUUUUCUUCUUUCACACCAAAGGCGAGGAGGUGACUGAAAGGCUGGAGCUGCGUAGGUAAUUAGUGGUUGGACAAUUAGCACCCUCCCUCCGUCCCUUCCCCUUCAUCUCAGCUCAGUUUGCCUGCAUUUGUACACUUGUUAAUAAGGACCUCUGUCUUUGAUAAUCCACGCUCUCGCAGAUGCGUGAGCACUCCUGCACACGGUUGUUGCAGGGCUUUUGAAAACACGGUGUUCGUUAAAGGCGAGGCCUCGUCGUGAUGCAUAUCAAUCGGAUGAGCGGAACGAGAAUGCUUGUUCCUCCCGCCUCCAUAUUGGAUGUUUAAUUUAGGCGAUGUCUGAUUGCUUUAUUUGAGAGCGAAGUGAUUCCAUUAGGUUUGCCUAAUAAGAGUCUAGUAAUGUAAUAUUUUUUCAGCAUUGUUAAUUUCCAUACAUAUUGAGUUUAGUAGCAGGCCGCUGCUGACUAUGGUUUUCUUAAUGAAGAGGCGAUGAAGGCGGUCAUUAACCUGUACAGUCUGCUGUGGUUUAAAGUGGAUGUUCGUGAAAUACAUGUAAGAUGCUCACUAGACGGCUUUGUGCAACUAAUGAACUUGUUUGGAUCCAGGUUUAGUUUGAACAGUCUGCUUUUGGGACAAACGAUCUGAAACCUGGCCUCGGCCCUGAACCGUGAUGAGACCGUGAAUGUUUGCUGAACAGGUCAUGUUAGAGCAGCAGGCGGACAACUUUAUUCUUGAAGGUCUUUCCACGUGAUUUUAGAAGUCAAAGAACUUUAAUCCCAAUCUUAAAAAAUCAAACGAGAUGUUGGGAUUGCUCCCAGAUGCAGGAUUGGUUUUCAUCUAUUGGUCUGAAGCUAGAUGAGAUAAAAUUAUCAUCUGUCGUAGAUGAAACCCAAGCAGCACUCGCCUGAAUCAUAAUCUUGCAGAUAUUUUGGAGCCUGAAUGCGAUUAGCAUCCUUUGGCAUUGGUGCUGUGAUGCCAUGAUGACCCAAUAAACCUUGUGCACAUUAGUUACCUCUUUUUAACUGGUGUAGUCCCAGCAGAGCCAGCUCUACCUUGAACAGAAGUGAAGAUCAUUUAGCAUCAUGGGUUCUCACUUUGGGAACUAUUGUUGUUUUUGUGGAACCUGUUCUAGAUUGAACGCCAGCAUCACUUCUGUGAAAGAGAGGUGUGUGCGGCAGCAGCCUCUGGCAGAAUUUAACUGACUGAGAUGUUAAUCUCCUGGCUAUGUAAUGAUGUUGGUUGGGGAUUGAUCAGAAAUGUCUCUGCCUUGCUGGAACCUGAAUUAGAACAGUGUGGGAAAUAACACUUGACGUGCUUGACCAGGUUAGGCUCUCAUACCAAAACCUCAGCCCAGCUGGGAAGCAUGGUAGAGGGAGCAUCAUGGUUUGGGAUCGCUUUACCACCUCGGUAGCUGGACAUCGAGCAGAGUGUCAGGCAGUUAUGAGAGGAUGGUUUGAUCCCUUUGCCCGCACUCAGGCUUUGAUUACUGCUGAUUCAGCAAGGACACAGGGCCGCUCUGCUGUUCAUGAAGACUCUGGCUGACAUUUUCAACCCUUUAUCUCCAGUUUGCCUAAGGACACAUGCAAACUUUGUCUAAGGCAAGAACCUCCCCUUCAUGCAGUAUGACAUUAAACGUGUCUUGGGUGGAGCAAACAACCCAAAAAGUACAGGAAACAGAAGUUCACAUGAAACGAGGAGGAAUGAAGUCUGCGCUUUGACACCGAAUUAGUUUACUUUUAACGGCUGACAUAAAAAGCAGAUCUAUCGUUUGACCUCUCUUCACCUUUUUUAAGACAAGAUCCUGAAAGAUGUUAAGAUGAGACUGGACCUUAAAAUUCAUUAGUUGUAAAGAACAUUUAAAUAAGUGAAAUAACAUAAGUUUGGGAAUUUUUAAGAAACGUCUUUUGGCUUUGUCAAGGCAACAUCACGCGAUGUUACAAAGUGUUUUCUAUCAGUUUGAGCCCUCGUGAACUCAGGUGAUGUCAUUUUCAGUUUUUGAGGGUUCAAUUUUGGGACUGAGCCGAGUAGAUCAACUAAAAGGCUGAAGGAGAAUAGAUUUCAGCUUUUGAAAGUCUGAGUCCUGACCUUAAUUCAAGUGACGUGCUGCAAGUAUGACCUGCACGCAGCAUCCAGGACGUACCGAUACCCUGGUAGGAGGACUUACUGUGUCUGAUGGAGGCUGUUGCUGCUGAAGUCCCUAAAGUCAAGAGUUAACUUGUUUUCCAGCCUUUAGAGUUAGAAUUACAUUGAAUAAUCACUAUUUGGAUGAAGAACUUUUCUUCAGUAAUAAUUGGAGACAUCCUGGUAAUCCUAAAGAGUCCUCACAUCAUCUUCAUUUAAAACAACAUUGAACUCGUUCAUUGUGGAAACAGUUUCUUUGUGUUUAUUUGAAAAAAGAAAAUACUGUAAUAUGUAUCUGGGUGCCUUUUGGUCAUUUUUCCUUUUUGCUUGGUGUUCCUUUAAAAAAAAAAAAAUCCACUAAAGUGAUUCUGUGCUGUCAUUUUCUACUGUAAAGCCACAAAAAUCAUCCAAACUUGUAAAUGUUUACUCUGCCGUUAAAAGUCUUUCUCAUGCCAGACACAAUGCUGGUGGAGGGAUACGUGAAGUUUCACAUAUUAUUAGGCAGUGUGUCAAUAAAACAAUUCCCCCCCCA